rnacentral:tRNA from 3 species
GGAGAGGUGUCCGAGUGGCUUAAGGAGCUAGUCUUGAAAACUAGUGACUCCGAAAGGAGCCGGGGGUUCAAAUCCCUUCCUCUCCG